GCCUGGCAGCCUACGGGAGGAGGCGGGAGCCGGGAAGGAGGGGAGCCUAGGCCCGGCGUGGGGAGGCCGGCAGGAAGGGCCUCGAGCCCAGUGCGGACCUUUCUUCAGCCUCUGUGCGACCGAGCCGCGCGCCAGGCUCCUGUGCGAGGAGGACGCGCUGACUCCCUCCGACCUGGGCUCCGAUGGAGCAGAAAUAGCGGGACCUGGACUUGUGGCGCGCCUGGUGCCACAUCUCGGGCUCUGCGAGCGUCCUGGCGCGGGAUCCUGCCUGUUCCCUUCUUUUCGCCAGGUUUGCAUCCAAGAGAGGGGAGGACAGGGGCAAAAGGAUGCAGGGAGGCUGCUGAUUUCCACUGAAGAGCUAAUUUCCUGUGAGACAUUAACAGUGAUUUAAGAAAAAGAUUCCUGUAACUGGUAAGGAAACUGAGGUAUACAAGGAUGAACUUUUGCAAGGCUACAAAUCUUGUUAAUAGUGAAGCUAACGUUCAGACCCAAGUGGUUCGGCUCUAGACUUUGUCUCAGUUACUGAAUUGAACUCUCUGUGCACUUACGAUGUGUCAUACCAGUUCUCACUACAUAGUGUCCCAAAAGAUUGGGCCUGCUCUUUCUUUCAGAGACAAUUAGGAAAAAAGUAAACAAACGGAGCAGGAUUUGGGCAUAACAGCAUGCUCCUCCCAUCCCCCAAAUCCCAGGAGUGUCACUGAGUAAUGUCUUACAAUAACAGAAUGCAGGAGAGCACAUAUCAAUGAAGAAAAGACAAAAUGUACUUAUCCAUGAAGCUGAGGUUAAGAAACCAGUGUCUUCAAGAGCCAGGGACAGCACUGGGUCUGUGCAGAGUUGAGAGAUGGUGAUGACAUGUGGUUUCCAGCAUUCCUCACCCAGUCCAGGGACACUGUGGGUGUGCCCAGCUUAAGUCCAGUAACUGGAAAUACAAGCCCAAGUUCUGGAGAGUUUGAGCUGCAGAGAUAUAUAUGGGAACACUUUGAAUCUUGACUCAUUGGCCAUAACCAGCAGAGUGGAAAAUACAAGAAGAGAAAAAAA
rnacentral:lncRNA from 1 species